CCUACGGGAGGCAGCAGUCGAGAAUCAUUCACAAUGGGGGAAACCCUGAUGGUGCGACGCCGCGUGGGGGAAUGAAGGUCUUCGGAUUGUAAACCCCUGUCAUGUGGGAGCAAAUUAAAAAGAUCGUACCCCAAGAGGAAGAGACGGCUAACUCUGUGCCAGCAGCCGCGGUAAUACAGAGGUCUCAAGCGUUGUUCGGAAUCACUGGGCGUAAAGCGUGCGUAGGCUGUUUCGUAAGUCGUGUGUGAAAGGCGCGGGCUCAACCCGCGGACGGCACAUGAUACUGCGAGACUAGAGUAAUGGAGGGGGAACCGGAAUUCUCGGUGUAGCAGUGAAAUGCGUAGAUAUCGAGAGGAACACUCGUGGCGAAGGCGGGUUCCUGGACAUUAACUGACGCUGAGGCACGAAGGCCAGGGGAGCGAAAGGGAUUAGAUACCCCAGUAGUC
rnacentral:rRNA from 1 species